rnacentral:rRNA from 1 species
UGGGGAAUAUUGCACAAUGGGCGCAAGCCUGAUGCAGCCAUGCCGCGUGUGUGAAGAAGGCCUUCGGGUUGUAAAGCACUUUCAGCGGGGAGGAAGGCGAUAAGGUUAAUAACCUCAUCGAUUGACGUUACCCGCAGAAGAAGCACCGGCUAACUCCGUGCCAGCAGCCGCGGUAAUACGGAGGGUGCAAGCGUUAAUCGGAAUUACUGGGCGUAAAGCGCACGCAGGCGGUCUGUCAAGUCGGAUGUGAAAUCCCCGGGCUCAACCUAGGAACUGCAUUCGAAACUGGCAGGCUAGAGUCUUGUAGAGGGGGGUGGAAUUCCAGGUGUAGCGGUGAAAUGCGUAGAGAUCUGGGGGAAUACCGGUGGCGAAGGCGGCCCCCUGGACAAAGACUGACGCUCAGGUGCGAAAGCGUGGGGAGCAAACAGG